rnacentral:rRNA from 1 species
GUGGGGAAUUUUGGACAAUGGGCGCAAGCCUGAUCCAGCAAUGCCGCGUGCAGGAAGAAGGCCUUCGGGUUGUAAACUGCUUUUGUACGGAACGAAACGGUCCGGGUUAAUACCCUGGGCUAAUGACGGUACCGUAAGAAUAAGCACCGGCUAACUACGUGCCAGCAGCCGCGGUAAUACGUAGGGUGCAAGCGUUAAUCGGAAUUACUGGGCGUAAAGCGUGCGCAGGCGGUUUUGUAAGACAGGCGUGAAAUCCCCGGGCUCAACCUGGGAAUUGCGCUUGUGACUGCAAGGCUGGAGUGCGGCAGAGGGGGAUGGAAUUCCGCGUGCAGCAGUGAAAUGCGUAGAUAUGCGGAGGAACACCGAUGGCGAAGGCAAUCCCCUGGGCCUGCACUGACGCUCAUGCACGAAAGCGUGGGGAGCAAACAGGAUUAGAUACCCGUGUAGUCC